UACAGAGGGGGCAAGCGUUGUUCGGAAUUACUGGGCGUAAAGGGCGCGUAGGCGGCCAACUAAGUCAGACGUGAAAUCCCCAGGCUCAACCUGGGAACUGCGUCUGAUACUGGAUGGCUCGAGUUCGGGAGAGGGAAGUGGAAUUCCAGGUGUAGCGGUGAAAUGCGUAGAUAUCUGGAGGAACACCGGUGGCGAAGGCGGCUUCCUGGACCGACACUGACGCUGAGGCGCGAAAGCCAGGGGAGCAAACAGG
rnacentral:rRNA from 1 species